GGGUAUUUGCAACGUGCCUAAACUAAUAAUAUAAUUAUUAUAAUAAGGUUUCUUAGUUGAAACGUGCAUGAAUGGAAAAAUAAUGUCCCAUCAAAGAUGCUAUCUUUUUCCUUUUCUUGUGAGACAUAAUACUCACCAUUUCACUACCACGUCCUUUUACUUUUCAUUAUUCAAUUCUUUCCCCAAUCCACCAAGCAACCCCUUCUUCUAUUUUUCAACUGCUGCACCUUCC
rnacentral:lncRNA from 1 species